GACGAACGCUGGCGGCGUGCCUAAUACAUGCAAGUUGAGCGCUGAAGGUUGGUACUUGUACCAACUGGAUGAGCAGCGAACGGGUGAGUAACGCGUGGGGAAUCUGCCUUUGAGCAGGGGACAACAUUUGGAAACGAAUGCUAAUACCGCAUAAAAACUUUAAACACAAGUUUUAAGUUUGAAAGAUGCAAUUGCAUCACUCAAAGAUGAUCCCGCGUUGUAUUAGCUAGUUGGUGAGGUAAAGGCUCACCAAGGCGAUGAUACAUAGCCGACCUGAGAGGGUGAUCGGCCACAUUGGGACUGAGACACGGCCCAAACUCCUACGGGAGGCAGCAGUAGGGAAUCUUCGGAAAUGGACGAAAGUCUGACCGAGCAACGCCGCGUGAGUGAAGAAGGGUCUCGGAUCGUAAAACUCUGUUGGUAGAGAAGAAAGUUGGUGAGAGUGGAAAGCUCACCAAGUGACGGUAACUACCCAGAAAGGGACGGCUAACUACGUG
rnacentral:rRNA from 1 species